UACAUGCAAGUCGAGCGGAAGAUGGGAGCUUGCUCCCUGAUGUUAGCGGCGGACGGGUGAGUAACACGUGGGUAACCUGCCUGUAAGACUGGGAUAACUCCGGAAGAUGGGAGCUAAUACCGGAUGGUUGUUUGAACCGCAUGGUUCAAACAUAAAAGGUGGCUUCGGCUACCACUUACAGAUGGACCCGCGGCGCAUUAGCUAGUUGGUGAGGUAACGGCUCACCAAGGCAACGAUGCGUAGCCGACCUGAGAGGGUGAUCGGCCACACUGGGACUGAGACACGGCCCAGACUCCUACGGGAGGCAGCAGUAGGGAAUCUUCCGUAAUGGACGAAAGUCUGACGGAGCAACGCCGCGUGAGUGAUGAAGGUUUUCGGAUCGUAAAGCUCUGUUGUUAGGGAAGAACAAGUACCGUUCGAAUAGGGCGGUACCUUGACGGUACCUAACCAGAAAGCCACGGCUAACUACGUGCCAGCAGCCGCGGUAAUACGUAGGUGGCAAGCGUUGUCCGGAAUUAUUGGGCAUAAAGGGCUCGCAGGCGGUUUCUUAAGUCUGAUGUGAAAGCCCCCGGCUCAACCGGGGAGGGUCAUUGGAAACUGGGGAACUUGAGUGCAGAAGAGGAGAGUGGAAUUCCACGUGUAGCGGUGAAAUGCGUAGAG
rnacentral:rRNA from 1 species